rnacentral:rRNA from 1 species
CCUACGGGGGGCAGCAGUGGGGAAUAUUGGUCAAUGGGGGGAACCCUGAUCCAGCCAUGCCGCGUGUGUGAAGAAGGCCCUCGGGUUGUAAAGCACUUUCAGUGAGGAAGAACGCCUGGUGGUUAAUACCCAUCAGGAAAGACAUCACUCACAGAAGAAGCACCGGCUAACUCCGUGCCAGCAGCCGCGGUAAUACGGAGGGUGCGAGCGUUAAUCGGAAUUACUGGGCGUAAAGCGCGCGUAGGUGGCUUGAUAAGCCGGUUGUGAAAGCCCCGGGCUCAACCUGGGAACGGCAUCCGGAACUGUCAAGCUAGAGUGCAGGAGAGGAAGGUAGAAUUCCCGGUGUAGCGGUGAAAUGCGUAGAGAUCGGGAGGAAUACCAGUGGCGAAGGCGGCCUUCUGGACUGACACUGACACUGAGGUGCGAAAGCGUGGGUAGCAAACAGGAUUAGAUACCCUAGUAGUC